AAGUUAGCAUGAAGUCCGAAGUGGUGGAGGGCUAGCGGCAGGUCGAUGGAGCGAUGGUGGCGCAGCCACACGCGACAGCAUGCGGCCCAAUGUGCGGAUGCAUGGGCAUGCGUGUGGAGCACGGCCUAGGCCCACGCGAAUGCGCACGGUGCGCAGCCCAGGUCCAGGCGCGCAGGCGCGAGCGUGGCCCAGGCCCAGGCACGCAGGC
rnacentral:lncRNA from 1 species